rnacentral:rRNA from 1 species
UACGUAGGGUGCGAGCGUUGUCCGGAAUUAUUGGGCGUAAAGAGCUUGUAGGCGGUUUGUCGCGUCUGCCGUGAAAUUUCGAGGCUCAACCUCGAACUUGCGGUGGGUACGGGCAGACUAGAGUGUGGUAGGGGAGACUGGAAUUCCUGGUGUAGCGGUGAAAUGCGCCGAUAUCAGGAGGAACACCGAUGGCGAAGGCAGGUCUCUGGGCCACUACUGACGCUGAGAAGCGAAAGCAUGGGGAGCGAACAGG